GGCCAAAUGGUCUAGUGGUAUGAUUCUUGCUUUGGGUUCAACUCAAUUGCAAGAGGUCCCGUGUUCAAUCCACGGUUUGGCCC